CUUUGUUAUUUACUGCAAUUGCAUCCAUAGGUUGGUAAAGCCUGGCGGAGUAUUGGUUUACCGUACUUGUUCCAUAGAUCCUGAAGAAAAUGAGGAGCGAGUGACUGCAUUUCUUCUUAGGCAUCCGGAAUUUCACAUAGAUCCCCUGUUGAUGGAUAUGUUCCACCCGAGUUUGUAACAGAUAAUGGCUUCUAUUUCUCGAACCCUGUGAAACAUUCUCUUGAUGGAUCCUUUGCAGUUCGUCAGUUACUGUCCUUGUAGAAUAGCAUAAUGAGUGCCUAACAGAAGGCUUUUGCAGGUGAUGCAUAACAUGGCCGAAGCAAAGUGAGUGGGUCAUCAUGAAGAUAUACUUGCGAGUACUGUUUGAGAAAUGCUUCAUGUCAUUA